rnacentral:rRNA from 1 species
CCUACGGGUGACAGCAGUGAGGAAUAUUGGUCAAUGGACGAGACUCUGAACCAGCCAAGUAGCGUGAAGGAUGACUGCCCUAUGGGUUGUAAACUUCUUUUAUAUGGGAAUAAAAUGUUCCACGUGUGGGAUUUAGUAUGUACCAUAUGAAUAAGGAUCGGCUAACUCCGUGCCAGCAGCCGCGGUAAUACGGAGGAUCCGAGCGUUAUCCGGAUUUAUUGGGUCUAAAGGGAGCGUAGGUGGAUUGUUAAGUCAGUGGUGAAAGUUUGUGGCUCAACCGUAAAAUUGCAGUUGAAACUGGCAGUCUUGAGUACAGUAGGGGUGGGCGGAAUUCGCGGUGUAGCGGUGAAAUGCUUAGAUAUCACGAAGAACUCCGAUUGCGAAGGCAGUUCACUGGACUGCAACUGACACUGAGGCUCGAAAGUGUGGGGAUCAAACAGGAUUAGAUACCCCAGUAGUC